CAGGUCAAUAUGGAAACUUUCAAGGCAGUUGAGGUCACCUGGGGUCCCUGAAGAUUAAUUUUCAAGCAAUUGGGGUCAUGCAGAGUUCAGUCAGGGUGAGGAUGAGACCAUGCAGGUCAGCUGAGGACAUGGACACUCAAACUCAGUGUAGUGCGGGGGUUACAAACAGGUCAAUAUGGUUACUUUCAAGGCACUUGGGGUCACCUGGGGUCACUGAGGAUUAAUUUUCAAGCCAUUGGGGUCAUUCAGAGUUCAAUCAGGGUUAGGAUGAGACCAUGAAGGUCAUCUGAGGACACGGACCCUGCAGCUCAAUGUAGUGGGGGUCACAGACAUAUCAAUGUUCAAACUUUCAAGGCAGUUGGGGGUCACCUGGGGUCACUGAGGAUUACUUUUCAAGCAAUUGGGGUCAUGCAGAGUUCAGUCAUGCUGAGGAUGAGAUCCUGCAGGUCAUCUGAGGACAAGGACUCUCAAGCUAAAUGUAAUGGGGGUCACAGACUGGUCAAUGUUGAAACUUUCAAGGCAGUUGGGGUUACUUAGGGUCACUGAGGAUGCAUUUACAAGCAAUUGAGGUCAUGCAGAGUUUAAUCAGAGUGAGGAUGAGCCCAUACAGGUUAUAUAAGGACACGGACUCUCAAGCUCAAUGUAGUCAGGGUGACAGAGAGGUCAAUGUGGAAAGUUUCAAGACACUUGGGGUCACUGAGGAUGGAUUUACAAACAAUUCGGGUCAUGCAGAGUUCAAUCAAGUGAGGAUGAGACACUGCAGGUCAUAUGAGGACAUGGACUCUGCAGCUCAGUAGUGGGGAGUCACAGACAGGUCAAUGUGGAAACUUGAAAGGCAUUUUGGGUCACUUAGACUGAAUUUAUAAGUAAUUGGGGUCAUGCAGCAUUCAAUCAGGGUGAGGAUGGGACCAUGCAGGUCAUCUGAGGACACGGACUCUCAAGCUCAAUGUAAUUGGGGGGGUCACAGACAGGUCAAUGUGGUUACUUUCAAGGCAGUUGUUGUCACCUAGGGUGACUGAGGAUGCUGUGGAAGCAACUGGGGUUAUGCAGAGUUCAAUCAGGGUGAGGAUGAGACUAUGCAGGUCAUCUGAGGACACGGACUCUCAAGCUCAGUGUAGUGGGGGGGUCACAAACAGGUCAAUGUGGUUACUUUCAAGGCAGAUGGGGGUCGCCUGGCGUCACUGAGGAUGAAUUUUCAAGCAGUUGGGGUGAUUCAUAGUUCAUUCAGGGUGAAGAUGAGACCAUGCAGGUCAUCUGAGGACACGGACCCUGCAGCUCUAUGUAGUGUGGGUCACAGAGAAGUCAAUGUGGAAACUUUAAAGGCAGUUGUGAUCACCUAGGGUCACUGAGGAUACAUUUACCAGCAAUUGGGGUUAUGCAGAGUUCAAUGAAGGUGCUGUUGAGACUAUGCAGGUCAUCUGAGUAAAUGGACCUUCAAGCUCAAUGUUGUGGGAUUCACAGACAGGUCAAUGUGGUUUCUUUCUAGGCAUUUGGGGUCACUGAGGAUGCAUUUACAAUCAAUUGGAUUCAUGAAGAGUUCAGUCAGUGUGAGGAUUAAGCUAAGGAAGUCAUCCAAGGACACAAACACUCAGGCUGAAUGUUGUGGGGCUCACAGGUCAAUGUGGAAACAUUUCUAGGCAAUAGGGGUCUGCUGAGGUCAUUGAGGAUGAAUUUGCAGGCAAUUGGGCUCUUGGAGAUAUCAUAUAGAGUAAGACUCAAGCCAGGGAGGUCAUCCAAGGACACAGACACUCAGGCCGAAUGUGGUGGGAGUCACACCGAGGUCAGUGUGCAACAAUUUCAAGUGGGUUCCUAGUUGACGACAGUAUUUGUUCUCUAGUGUUGGUGCCUUCAUUAGUGUGCGGCUGCCUUCUCAAAGUUA